AGUUUCUCUCAUAGUACACGUAUAUUUGGUCAUACGUGUCUUUCCCUUGGAGAUAACACGCGCGCAUAAAUAACAAGUUUUGAUAAACUAUUUGACAGUUGGUAGUUAUUUAUGUAUGCCAAUUUCCCUGUUCAUUAAACAUGGAGAUAACGACUGUUGUUCUUUUACAAGGUGAUACACAUAUUGAGCCGGCUUUCUCAUUUUUACGAGUGUGUGUGUGUGUGUGUGUGUUUGGAUGAAGGAUAUCUUUCUGCACUUGCGGCCUAGAACUUCUAUAACUCUUCAAAUACACACAGAGAACAGAAGCGCCUUUUAGUCUAGAAUAUCCCUUAUCUGAAGCGAUACGGAAGACACGGCUAGCACUGAGCCAUGAGAACAUUCGAUGAGCAAUGUUUGCCAAACAUUUUGAGGAAAUUAAUUCUUUCCCAUGUCAAAAUUUUCACGGUACAGGUAUAAGCAACCGGAGGAAUCAUGAGAACAUCACGAAGGGUCAUCGUGUGACUGCGUGCCACGUUCUUUAAUUAAGAAGCAAUAUAGUAAGAUGCAGUAAGAAGCGAGCUAAAGUUUCCUUUCGACUCGAUCAUCAAUCCUGCGGAAUUUGUGAGUUGAUUUCCAGUUAUAGAAGAACUGGUAAGGUAAACACGUGCAGAAUUGGAGAUUGGAGAGCAAAGGAAUACAGAAGCAAAGAAGUAAAGAUGAGCAAACGGGUGUAGCGAGGAAGGAAAGAGGCGGAGGAAAGAAGAGAGCAAUAGAGAUAACAGAAAAGCGAGAGCGAGAUCAGAAGAAGAAAGGAGAAUAGUACGAGGUGAAUACAAUAGUAAGGUUAGAAAGAACAAAGAGCACUGAAGUGGCGCGAAGGUAGGUAGGUAGGUGGCAGGAGGUAAGUAAACCGUUGAGAUUCUUGGACAGUAAGGAGGAGAGAAAAAAGGAGAGAUCAAGAAAAGGGGAAGUGAAAGGAGAGAUGAAUCGGUGAGAGAUAGAAAACUUGGCGGAAUAGAUCAAAGGGCUAGAAGAGGAGACAAGGGAGGAGAGAAGGAGAUAGAUGGAGGAAUGGAGGGAAGAGAUGAUGGAAGACAGAAGAAUAUGGAAAGAGGAAACGAAUAAAUGGGGAGAGGAAUAGAAAAAGGAAACGCUGAAGUGGGCCAAAGGGAGAAAGAAGGGAGUUGGAAUGGAAAAAGUA